rnacentral:rRNA from 1 species
GACGAACGCUGGCGGCGUGCUUAACACAUGCAAGUCGAACGGAAAGGCCCUGCUUGCAGGGUACUCGAGUGGCGAACGGGUGAGUAACACGUGGGUGAUCUGCCCUGCACUUCGGGAUAAGCUUGGGAAACUGGGUCUAAUACCGGAUAGGAGCCAUCUUUAGUGUGGUGGUUGGAAAGUUUUUUCGGUGUAGGAUGAGCUCGCGGCCUAUCAGCUUGUUGGUGGGGUAAUGGCCUACCAAGGCGGCUACGGGUAGCCGGCCUGAGAGGGUGUACGGCCACAUUGGGACUGAGAUACGGCCCAGACUCCUACGGGAGGCAGCAGUGGGGAAUAUUGCACAAUGGGCGCAAGCCUGAUGCAGCGACGCCGCGUGGGGGAUGAAGGCCUUCGGGUUGUAAACUCCUUUCGCUAGGGACGAAGCUUUUUUGUGACGGUACCUAGAUAAGAAGCACCGGCUAACUACGUG